rnacentral:rRNA from 1 species
UAAGCGAAUAAGCGUACACGGUGGAUGCCUAGGCAAUCAGAGGCGAUGAAGGACGUGCUAAUCUGCGAAAAGCGUCGGUAAGGUGAUAUGAACCGUUAUACCCGACGAUAUCCGAAUGGGGAAACCCAGUAUCCAAUGGAUACUAUCAUUAACUGAAUCCAUAGGUUAAUGAGGCGAACCGGGAGAACUGAAACAUCUCAGUACCCCGAGGAAAAGAAAUCAACCGAGAUUCCCCUAGUAGCGGCGAGCGAACGGGGAGCAGCCCAGAGUCUUAAUCAAUAGCAGUGUCAGGAGAACGGUCUGGAAAGUCCGGCAGUAAAGGGUGAUAGCCCCGUAUCUGAAGAUGCUGUUGUUGUGAACUCGACGAGUAGGGCGGGACACGUGUUAUCCUGUCUGAAUAUGGGGGGACCAUCCUCCAAGGCUAAAUACUCCUGAUUGACCGAUAGUGAACCAGUACCGUGAGGGAAAGGCGAAAAGAACCCCGGCGAGGGGAGUGAAAAAGAACCUGAAACCGUGUACGUACAAGCAGUAGGAGCCUCUUUAUGGGGUGACUGCGUACCUUUUGUAUAAUGGGUCAGCGACUUAUAUUCUGUAGCAAGGUUAACCGUAUAGGGGAGCCGUAGGGAAACCGAGUCUUAACUGGGCGAAUGAGUUGCAGGGUAUAGACCCGAAACCCGGUGAUCUAUCCAUGGGCAGGUUGAAGGUUGGGUAACACUAACUGGAGGACCGAACCGACUAAUGUUGAAAAAUUAGCGGAUGACUUGUGGAUGGGGGUGAAAGGCCAAUCAAACCGGGAGAUAGCUGGUUCUCCCCGAAAGCUAUUUAGGUAGCGCCUCGUGAAUUCAUCUUCGGGGGUAGAGCACUGUUUCGACUAGGGGGUCAUCCCGACUUACCAACUCGAUGCAAACUGCGAAUACCGAAGAAUGUUAUCACGGGAGACACACGGCGGGUGCUAACGUCCGUCGUGAAGAGGGAAACAACCCAGACCGCCAGCUAAGGUCCCAAAGUCAUGGUUAAGUGGGAAACGAAGUGGGAAGGCUCAGACAGCCAGGAUGUUGGCUUAGAAGCAGCCAUCAUUUAAAGAAAGCGUAAUAGCUCACUGGUCGAGUCGGCCCGCGCGGAAGAUGUAACGGGGCUAAACCAUGCACCGAAGCUGCGGCAGCGACACAAAGUGUUGUUGGGUAGGGGAGCGUUCUGUAAGCCUGCGAAGGUGUACUGUGAGGUAUGCUGGAGGUAUCAGAAGUGCGAAUGCUGACAUAAGUAACGAUAAUGCGGGUGAAAAACCCGCACGCCGGAAGACCAAGGGUUCCUGUCCAACGUUAAUCGGGGCAGGGUGAGUCGACCCCUAAGGCGAGGCUGAAAAGCGUAGUCGAUGGGAAACGGGUUAAUAUUCCCGUACUGGUGGUAACUGCGAUGGGGGAACGGAGAAGGCUAGGUUGUCCGGGCGACGGUCGUCCCGGUUCAAGCAGGUAGGCAGAGUGAUUAGGCAAAUCCGGUCACUUAAUGCUGAGAUGUGAUGACGAACCACUAAGGUGGUGAAGCAAUUGAUGCCCCGCUUCCAGGAAAAGCCUCUAAGCUUCAGGUUACCAACAAUCGUACCCCAAACCGACACAGGUGGUCAGGUAGAGAAUACUCAGGCGCUUGAGAGAACUCGGGUGAAGGAACUAGGCAAAAUGGUGCCGUAACUUCGGGAGAAGGCACGCUGGCGGUAGGUAAAGUCCCUUGCGGACGGCGCUGAAGCCAGUCGAAGAUACCAGCUGGCUGCAACUGUUUAUUAAAAACACAGCACUGUGCAAACACGAAAGUGGACGUAUACGGUGUGACGCCUGCCCGGUGCUGGAAGGUUAAUUGAUGGGGUCAGCCGUAAGGCGAAGCUCCUGAUCGAAGCCCCAGUAAACGGCGGCCGUAACUAUAACGGUCCUAAGGUAGCGAAAUUCCUUGUCGGGUAAGUUCCGACCUGCACGAAUGGCGUAAUGAUGGCCAGGCUGUCUCCACCCGAGACUCAGUGAAAUUGAACUCGCUGUGAAGAUGCAGUGUACCCGCGGCAAGACGGAAAGACCCCGUGAACCUUUACUAUAGCUUGACACUGAACAUUGAGCCUUGAUGUGUAGGAUAGGUGGGAGGCUUUGAAGUGUGGACGCCAGUCUGCAUGGAGCCAACCUUGAAAUACCACCCUUUAACGUUUGAUGUUCUAACCUAGGCCCAUAAACUGGGUCGGGGACCGUGUCUGGUGGGUAGUUUGACUGGGGCGGUCUCCUCCUAAAGAGUAACGGAGGAGCACGAAGGUUGGCUAAGCAUGGUCGGACAUCAUGCGGUUAGUGCAAAGGCAUAAGCCAGCUUGACUGCGAGAGUGACGGCUCGAGCAGGUACGAAAGUAGGUCUUAGUGAUCCGGUGGUUCUGAAUGGAAGGGCCAUCGCUCAACGGAUAAAAGGUACUCCGGGGAUAACAGGCUGAUACCGCCCAAGAGUUCAUAUCGACGGCGGUGUUUGGCACCUCGAUGUCGGCUCAUCACAUCCUGGGGCUGAAGUAGGUCCCAAGGGUAUGGCUGUUCGCCAUUUAAAGUGGUACGCGAGCUGGGUUUAGAACGUCGUGAGACAGUUCGGUCCCUAUCUGCCGUGGGCGUUGGAAGAUUGAGAGGGGUUGCUCCUAGUACGAGAGGACCGGAGUGAACGCACCACUGGUGUUCGGGUUGUCAUGCCAAUGGCAUUGCCCGGUAGCUAAGUGCGGAAGAGAUAACCGCUGAAAGCAUCUAAGCGGGAAACUUGCCUCGAGAUGAGUCUUCCCUGUCGCUUUAAGUGACCUAAAGGAACGUUUAAGACUAAGACGUUGAUAGGCUGGGUGUGUAAGCGUAGCGAUACGUUGAGCUAACCAGUACUAAUGAACCGUGAGGCUUAACCU